rnacentral:lncRNA from 1 species
GGGAAUCUUCAAAAAGGGCCCACAGUCAAGGGUAGCAUGGGAAAAUGCAGCCUCUCUCUUUCUUUCCCGUAAAUAAUUAUUUAAUAAAACAAAGUCGAGCUUUAAAUAAAUGGGAUGGGAUGCAAAUUGAAGCGGGUUGAGUUAAGGGUUUGAAAUCCGGUGGUCAGGAGUGCCUUGUCUUAAAACGGAGAAAACGGGGCAAAAUUUUGAUGAAUUUUCAGGAUUCCAAAUGGUUUUCCUGCCAAUUUCCGACCAUUUUAGCUAAGCAUAAAGCUGGAAUUAAUUGAUUCGACCAAUAUUUCAACGUGAAGUAGGUAAAUUUUAGGUGAAGUUUGCAGGGUUCUGGUUAUCUUCCGGUGUGUUUCAGGCCAUAGGGUGAGAUUUUCCGGCCAAAAUUGGGACAACAUUGCAGCUUGGAGUCACACUUCUAGCUGUUGGUUCCGGAGAUUUAACUUUGGGUUUAUUUUGGUUGUCUUUGGUUUUUACUGUGCAAAUGUAAGGUUUUCUUUGUUGGAGCAUUUUCUUUUUGCUUUGAGCUUUGAAGCUUUAUCUUUUCAGAGAUUGGAAUGUGUUUGCUGGUGUGGUUUUUGGAUUGAACAUUUUUUGCAGGCGAAAUUCCUAGGUGGAGAUUUAGGAAUUUCCGGGGUGAAAUCAGAUCUCUGAAGUCGAAAAUUGAGGUGAUUUAGGAAUAUCACAGUUGCAAAAGUUGCUGCUUUGCUACUAAAUCGAUAGCUUCAAUUCAUUGUGAAAAGACUGAGGAUUUGAGUACCUCUCUCUACAGUGAACAUGAAAAGCUUUGUUUAUUCUGAGCUCAAAUCCUUUCAAUCAUGCUGUAAACUGUGGUUGAAUUGCGGGAUUCUUUCCAUGACCAGCGAAUGAACAGUAAUACGAAGUGAACAUUUAGGGUUUAUUUAUUUACUAUGUGGUGGACUUGUAUUUGUAGAGAGAGAAAAAGAUGGCGUACAUAGCCUUUACAAAAAGGAUUCUCAUGCAUUGAGCUUUUCCUUCUUUCAACGAGAAUUCUUUCCACUCGAGCCUUGAGCUUUUUGAAAACUCGAGAACACCUCAAUUUUUGUGAGAUCUUCGCAAGAACAAGUUCUUUUCUGGAUGAAAAUUUUGAGAAAAGAAUCAGGCUUGUGUAGCACAUCUAAUGUGCCCAAAGAGAUGAGAAAACGAGUAUCUAGAGAAAGAAAACGAGAAUCUAGAGGGAGGAUAUGUGGUUUCUUUGAUGUUUUGGGGGCCUGUAUAAGCAGAUCUGAAAGCUUGAUGUGAUGCUUUUGAAAAGUUCCUGUAUGUUUACUUUGUAAAAAAAAAGCAGAGAGUUGGCUCGGUGAUUUGCCAGCUGCCCUUCUAUCUUAUACACUUUCCUUUUAAUGAAGGUUUCCAUCUUUAGGCCAUCGUUUUGCAAAUUGAUCUAAAGACUGUUACUUUGUACGAGAGAGAGAGAGAGAGAGAGAGAGAGAGAGAGAGAGAGAGAGAGAGAGAGAGAG